rnacentral:rRNA from 1 species
GAUGAACGCUGGCGGCGUGCCUAAUACAUGCAAGUCGAGCGAACAGACGAGGAGCUUGCUCCUCUGACGUUAGCGGCGGACGGGUGAGUAACACGUGGAUAACCUACCUAUAAGACUGGGAUAACUUCGGGAAACCGGAGCUAAUACCGGAUAAUAUAUUGAACCGCAUGGUUCAAUAGUGAAAGACGGUUUUGCUGCCACUUAUAGAUGGAUCCGCGCCGCAUUAGCUAGUUGGUAAGGUAACGGCUUACCAAGGCAACGAUGCGUAGCCGACCUGAGAGGGUGAUCGGCCACACUGGAACUGAGACACGGUCCAGACUCCUACGGGAGGCAGCAGUAGGGAAUCUUCCGCAAUGGGCGAAAGCCUGACGGGGCAACGCCGCGUGAGUGAUGAAGGUCUUCGGAUCGUAAAACUCUGUUAUUAGGGAAGAACAAAUGUGUAAGUAACUAUGCACGUCUUGACGGUACCUAAUCAGAAAGCCACGGCUAACUACGUG